GAUGAACGCUGGCGGCGUGCCUAAUACAUGCAAGUCGAGCGAACGGACGAGAAGCUUGCUUCUCUGAUGUUAGCGGCGGACGGGUGAGUAACACGUGGAUAACCUACCUAUAAGACUGGGAUAACUUCGGGAAACCGGAGCUAAUACCGGAUAAUAUUUUGAACCGCAUGGUUCAAAAGUGAAAGACGGUCUUGCUGUCACUUAUAGAUGGAUCCGCGCUGCAUUAGCUAGUUGGUAAGGUAACGGCUUACCAAGGCAACGAUGCAUAGCCGACCUGAGAGGGUGAUCGGCCACACUGGAACUGAGACACGGCCCAGACUCCUACGGGAGGCAGCAGUGGGAAUCUUCCGCAAUGGGCGAAAGCCUGGCGGAGCAACGCCGCGUGAGUGAUGAAGGUCUUCGGAUCGUAAAACUCUGUUAUUAGGGAAGAACAUAUGUGUAAGUAACUGUGCACAUCUUGACGGUACCUAAUCAGAAAGCCACGGCUAACUACGUG
rnacentral:rRNA from 1 species